GAACAUACUCUUUUCAUUUUCAUACUUGAAAAGGAUAUUCGGCACUAAGGCCAUCCACCCGUCUUUACUUAUGAGCACUUCUAGGUGAUCAGCCUAUUGUAUUCUAUGUUGAUCAACACUCUUACGUUAAACAUAUUUACGUUCAACAUUUGGCAACCUCGCGUGCCCAUCAAAUAAUUGAUGAAAAUACUUUUGUUUUUACAUAGACAAACUUUCC
rnacentral:lncRNA from 1 species